rnacentral:rRNA from 1 species
CCGCCGGCGACCGGCGCACGGGUGAGUAACACGUCUGCAACCUGGCCGUGACAGAUGGAUAACCGGGAGAAAUCCCGCCUAAUACAACAUAAUGCCGGGAGGGGACAUCCCCUGCCGGUCAAAGGGGGCGACCCCGGUCAUGGAUGGGCAUGCGGCGCAUUAGGUAGUUGGUGGGGCAACGGCCCACCAAGCCGACGAUGCGUAGGGGUUCUGAGAGGAAGGUCCCCCACAUUGGAACUGAGACACGGUCCAAACUCCUACGGAAGGCAGCAG